CAGUAGCCACGGUAAUACAGAGGGUGCGAGCGUUAAUCGGAUUUACUGGGCGUAAAGCGUGCGUAGUCGGCUUCUUAAGUCGGAUGUGAAAUCCCUGAGCUUAACUUAGGAAUUGCAUUCGAUACUGGGAAGCUAGAGUAUGGGAGAGGAUGGUAGAAUUCCAGGUGUAGCGGUGAAAUGCGUAGAGAUCUGGAGGAAUACCGAUGGCGAAGGCAGCCAUCUGGCCUAAUACUGACGCUGAGGUACGAAAGCAUGGGGAGCAAACAGGAUUAGAUACCCCCGUAGUCCCUGUCUCUUAUAC
rnacentral:rRNA from 1 species